AAAUUAAUAGGUGAUGGGACUCACCAUUAUGUGCCUUAAGGCUGAUGGUUCCUACUAAGUU
rnacentral:ncRNA from 2 species